rnacentral:lncRNA from 1 species
UGACGAAAUAUCUAUGGAAAGGGGCCUCUAAAGAAGUAGUGCAGAGAAUAAAAACUGCUGGGAAAGAUAUGCAAUCACUCAAAAAAAAUGGGUGUGUUCCUCUGGAAUGCAAAGUGACUCACAAAUGGAAUGCCUGAUUUACCCUCUGAAAGGGGUCCGCACCUGCCUAACCAUGACCACUAGUCUGGAGAAGCACUGGCUUCAGCAGCAGAAGGCAGAAUCAUUGAUAGCAAGAAUCUUUUGAGCUCCUCAGAGCCAUGCAGCUCCUCACCCUUACCCUCUGCCACUGCCAUCAGCAAUGGGGAUUUCUCAGCCCACACAAUUAAAUAUCCACAUAAAUUACUAAGUGGUGAAGCUGUACGUAGCAGGCUCCUUUCAAGAACAGGGUUUAAAGGUUUCCACUGAGGAAUGAUGCACAAAUUGCAAGAGGAAGCGUGCAUGGACUGGAGGAUGCAUUAUAUCUCAUCACUUAUUUGGAGACAGCCGCUGUCAACACAAUUGUAUAGACAAUAUUAUUCUUCAGUAAAUAAAAACACACCGUCACAAAAUAUCACCACACAUUUUCCCCUGAACAUUAGUAAACAUGGCAGUUUGCUCUGCCACUGUUUGCAAGUUUACUCUGUGGAGAAAAACACUAAAUAUCUCCUGCUGGUUGCAUUUGCCG